rnacentral:rRNA from 1 species
UACACACUGCCCGUCACGCCAUGGGAGUUGGUUUUACCUUAAGCUAGUGGGCUAACAUUUGAGGCAGCUAACCACGGUAAGAUCAGUGACUGGGGUG